AACGCGAAGAACCUUACCGAGGCUUGACAUCCCUUGAAAGCCGUAGAAAUACGGUUUCCGUGGCAACACGGCAAGGAGACAGGUGCUGCAUGGCUGUCGUCAGCUCGUGCCGUGAGGUGUUGGGUUAAGUCCCGCAACGAGCGCAACCCUCGUUUUGUGUUGGUCCGCAAGGAUCUCUCACAAGAGACCGCCGGUGAGAAGCCGGAGGAAGGUGGGGAUGACGUCAAGUCAGCAUGGCCCUUACGUCUCGGGCUACACACGUGCUACAAUGGGUGCGACAACGAGUCCCAAACUCGCAAGGGUAAGGCAAUCUCUCAAACGCAUCCUCAGUUCGGAUUGAAGGCUGCAACUCGCCUUCAUGAAGUCGGAAUCGCUAGUAAACGCAGAUCAGCUACGCUGCGUUGAAUACGUUCCCGGGCCUUGUA
rnacentral:rRNA from 2 species